GAUGAACGCUGGCGGCGUGCCUAAUACAUGCAAGUCGAGCGAACGGACGAGAAGCUUGCUUCUCUGAUGUUAGCGGCGGACGGGUGAGUAACACGUGUAUAACCUACCUAUAAGACUGGGAUAACUUCGGGAAACCGGAGCUAAUACCGUAUAAUCUUUUGAACCGCAUGGUUCAAAAGUGAAAUACGGUCUUGCUGUCACUUAUCGAUGGUUCCGCGCUGCAUUAGCUAGUUGGUAAGGUAACGGCUUACCACGGCAACGAUGCAUAGCCGACCUGAGAGGGUGAUAGGCGACAUGGGAACGGGGACACGGUCAAUAGGCCUACGGGAGGCAGCAGAAGGGAAUCGUCCGCAAUGGGGGAAAGCCUGACGGAGCAACGCCGAGUGAGUGAUGAAGAUCUUCGGAGCGUAAAACUCUGUUAUUAGGGAAGAACAGAUGUGUAAGUAACCGUGCACAGCUUGACGGUACCUAAUCAGAAAGCAACGGCUAACUACGUG
rnacentral:rRNA from 1 species